rnacentral:rRNA from 1 species
GCAGCAGCCGCGGUAAUACGUAGGGGGCGAGCGUUGUCCGGAUUUACUGGGCGUAAAGAGCGCGUAGGCGGUCUUUCAAGUCGUGCGUGAAAUACCUCGGCUCAACCGGGGCACGUCGUGCGAUACUGGGGGACUUGAGGUCGGAAGAGGGAAGUGGAAUUCCGGGUGUAGUGGUGGAAUGCGUAGAUAUCCGGAGGAACACCAGUGGCGAAGGCGGCUUCCUGGUCCGAUCCUGACGCUGAGGCGCGAAAGCGUGGGGAGCGAACUGAAUUAGAUACUCAGGUAGUCCACGCUGUAAACAAUGGGUGCUAGGUGUCGGGGGUAUCGACCCCUCCGGUGCCGGAGCUAACGCAUUAAGCACCCCGCCUGGGGAGUACGGCCGCAAGGCUAAAACUUAAAGGAAUUGGCGGGGGA